rnacentral:rRNA from 1 species
GUGAGGAAUUUUGCGCAAUGGGGGAAACCCUGACGCAGCAACGCCGCGUGAGUGAUGAAGACCUUCGGGUCGUAAAGCUCUGUCAAGUGGGAAAAAAUACUUUCGGUUAAUAGCCGGAAGGACUGAUGGUACCGCUGGAGGAAGCACCGGCUAACUCCGUGCCAGCAGCCGCGGUAAUACGGAGGGUGCAAGCGUUGUUCGGAAUUACUGGGCGUAAAGGGCGUGUAGGCGGCUUGGCAAGUCAGAUGUGAAAGCCCUGGGCUCAACUCAGGAAGUGCAUUUGAAACUGCCAUGCUAGAGUAUGGGAGAGGAGAGUGGAAUUCCCAGUGUAGAGGUGAAAUUCGUAGAUAUUGGGAGGAACACCGGUGGCGAAAGCGACUCUCUGGACCAAUACUGACGCUGAGACGCGAAAGCGUGGGGAGCAAACAGGAUUAGAUACCCCAGUAGUCC